UACGUAGGGGGCUAGCGUUGUCCGGAAUCAUUGGGCGUAAAGCGCGUGUAGGCGGUCCGGUAAGUCCGCUGUGAAAGUCGGGGGCUCAACCCUGGAAGGCCGGUGGAAACUGUCGGGCUAGAGUCCGGAAGAGGCGAGUGGAAUUCCCGGUGUAGCGGUGAAAUGCGCAGAUAUCGGGAGGAACACCAAUGGCGAAGGCAGCUCGCUGGGACGGUACUGACGCUGAGACGCGAAAGCGUGGGGAGCGAACAGG
rnacentral:rRNA from 1 species